rnacentral:lncRNA from 1 species
UUUUGCCACUCCAGAAGUCUGCUUGAGAGUCUUUACAACAUGCUGGCUUCCCCCAAAGUGAGUGGUCCCAAAGACAGCAAGGUGGAGGCAAGGUUAUCUUGAAAACUUGGCCUCAGAAGUAACAUGGCAUCAUUCCUGCAACAUCUUAUUGGUUAUAUAGGAUGAUGACAAAGGAGAAGUGAACCAAGGGGAAUGUGAUCGUGGAUCUACAGACACGUCCCUCCUCCUAU